UACGUAGGGUGCGAGCGUUAAUCGGAAUUACUGGGCGUAAAGCGUGCGCAGGCGGUUAUGUAAGACAGAUGUGAAAUCCCCGGGCUCAACCUGGGAACUGCAUCUGUGACUGCAUCGCUGGAGUGCGGCAGAGGGGGAUGGAAUUCCGCGUGUAGCAGUGAAAUGCGUAGAUAUGCGGAGGAACACCGAUGGCGAAGGCAAUCCCCUGGGCCUGCACUGACGCUCAUGCACGAAAGCGUGGGGAGCAAACAGG
rnacentral:rRNA from 1 species